rnacentral:lncRNA from 1 species
GAGAUGAUAAGUACUAGUGCAGUGGGGACUGUCGUUUGUCUCAAUAACCCUCCUCAUAUAAGUUUUUCCAGAAAUUCUGACCAUCCGAAUCCUGGAGAAGUUGUGCCAUGAUGAUGCGAACUUAAUGUGAGAAGCAAGUGGGUCUGAGAAGGGUAAAUGGCGGAAAGAAGUAGACACAGAUCCUAUUUACUGGGCUAGUGCACCCAUCCCCCAGCUGCUGCGAGUGAUGACAGCUAACAGCCUACAGCAAUUUUCCUGAGAGUUGUCCCUGGCCAAAAGAAGCCUCCUCGUUUUGAAAUGCCUGUGACCUUAUGCCCUGUCCCCAGGGCCAGCCUGGAGACUGUGACUUAUUGAUUCAAGGUCUGGACCUCUACCUCAAGCUCUAUACCUAAUGGUGGUGAAAUUCAAUUGAUCAAAUUGUGCUGGUCUCAGGAGCUACUGUUGCUCACUCUGUGAUGAGAGGAAUAUCCCACAUACUCCUGCAGCGUAGAGGAAACCCUCUAGGGUAAUCUCCAGCCAAACUUUUAAGUCGCAAGUUAGUUCUGCCCACCUUUGAGAUUCAUAUUCCUUGGGAUUUUCUGUGUAAACAAUCAUGUCAUCUGCAAGAGGGAACAUUUUAUAUCUUCCUUUCUAAUCGUUUUUGCCAUCUGGCUACUUUAGAUGAAGAAAGUAAAGCAUGAGGAGGUGAACUAUGUUUUACAAGGUUACACUUAUAAUUGGCAAAGCCAAGAUUCAAAUCCAAGCAACGUGACUCUCUAGCUUACACCUGAACCACCACCUUAUAACCUUAAUCUCAUCAGUCAUCGCUGGUUUCAGAAAUACCAGUGGACUGUGAUGAAACUGGCCAGAGAGCACUACAAAAUGCCCUAACUCUGGGCACACGCGGGAUGGCAGGCAGAGAGAAGGAAGAAAGGUAAAUGUAGCCUGAUCAAUUUGCUGAUGGAAUGAAAUUCUCAGAUACCCAAGAAAAUAC